GGCCAAAACAGUCAGGUGUACACACGUACCGAGGAGACGGGGCACACAGACGCACGCCACGUACGGGCCAGCGGCUCGUGUUCCGAUUGUUCGACAGCGCGCGUCACAUUAACUGUUUGAUGCGGACGACUAUUGUUACAACUUUUGUGUCGGCCUGGUGUUACAGGAAUCCAUCACCUUAUUCCAAAUCUGUUCCAUGAAUCUGGUAUAUCUUCUCUGGCAAUGUAGCACAAGUUUGUUGCCGUGCUGUGAAUCAUCGAAAAUGUCGGAAACCCAUUCAGCAGCCACUAACCAGCAUCUGAAAAAAAGAACGAUAUCGCGCAGGACUCUCUCUCUCUCUCUCUCUCUGCCCGGCGAUUGUUAUCGGCGCUAUAGAAUUCCGGUGACUCCAUCUACGGAACUUGUAACGUGGCAAAACGAAUGGAGAUGAAGAGAGGGAGAGAAAAAAGAAUGAAAAUGGUGGGAGAAUAUAAGAGAAGACGUGACGGCGUUGUGUUUGGUGGAAUUUCUAAUCGUUUCAUUCCAUCGUGAUCGGUCAAUUACUUUAUCGGCGUUGUGCACAGAAUAUGCACCAUCGUGAGCGUUCUACUUUUUUUCUUUCUUUCUCUCUCUCUCUCUUUUAACAAAACGCAUACAUCUCUUUUGUGAAAUUUGUUUUGUUUUUGUGUGCCUUUAAAGCCGUGAUCUAUGGCUUCCCCCUCCCACGCUCACGUGAAAAAGAAAAAGAAGAAAAAAAAGCUUCGUUUCACUUUCUCUCGCUUACUUGCAAUUUAAACAACGAGGACAUCACAACACAAUCUGACCGAUCUCUGCCGCUGACCUCCCAAGCAGCCAAACCAAAUCGAACCUCCCCCAAAAAAAAAACUGAUUGGAAACUUCGAUUUAUUUUGUUUAUCAGCGUGCGUCUAUUAUUAUAUUCACUAUGCUCCUUUUUCUUUGUCUCUCUCUCUUUUUUUCCGAUCAAUUCGUUCCGCCAUUUCUCUCUUUCUCAUUUCUUUUCACUUGUUGUAUAACACAAUAACCAAUUGGUUGGUGGUCUAUUGGCGUUCGCCAUCGUAGCAACUCCAUUUCCAUCUUGAAUAACAAAUUAAAAAAGAAAAAGAAACAAAUGCUUUUUUGGAACCGGCGUGUGCCCGCCAACAAUCGAACGUUUUUUCUUUUUGAAUGGCUCUUCACGUCACCUAAUGUUAUAUAAGAAUAUACACGUCCUAAUCUAUUUUGACGGCCAA